UGCAUAGUGUGCGGCCUCCCCA
rnacentral:miRNA from 1 species